GUUAUAGGGACAAGUGAAUAAGUGCACAUGGUGGAUGCCUUGGCGAUUACAGGCGAUGAAGGACGUAGUAGCUUGCGAUAAGCUGCGGGGAGUGAGCAAACACACUUUGAUCCGCAGAUUUCCGAAUGGGGAAACCCGGCCUUUUAGGUCAUUGCAUACUGAAUACAUAGGUAUGCAAAGCGAACGCGGCGAACUGAAACAUCUAAGUAGCUGCAGGAAAAGAAAUCAACCGAGAUUCCCAAAGUAGUGGCGAGCGAAAUGGGAUGAGCCUUGUACGUGAUAGUCGAUYGAAUAGUGGAACAGCCUGGAAAUGCUGGCCAUAGAGGGUGAUAGCCCCUUACACGAAAUUCGAACGGUGGUACUAAGCGUACGACAAGUAGGGCGGGACACGAGAAAUCCUGUCUGAAGAUGGGGGGACCAUCCUCCAAGGCUAAAUACUCGUAAUCGACCGAUAGUGAACCAGUACCGUGAGGGAAAGGCGAAAAGAACCCCGGGAGGGGAGUGAAAUAGAUCCUGAAACCGUGUGCAUACAAACAGUCGGAGCCUCUUCGUGGGGUGACGGCGUACCUUUUGUAUAAUGGGUCAGCGACUUACAUUCAGUGGCGAGGUUAACCGAAUAGGGGAGCCGUAGAGAAAUCGAGUCCGAACAGGGCGACAGUCGCUGGGUGUAGACCCGAAACCAGGUGAUCUACCCAUGGCCAGGAUGAAGGUGCGGUAACACGCCCUGGAGGUCCGAACCCACUAAUGUUGAAAAAUUAGGGGAUGAGCUGUGGGUAGGGGUGAAAGGCUAAACAAACCUGGAAAUAGCUGGUUCUCUCCGAAAACUAUUUAGGUAGUGCCUCAAGUAUCACCAUCGGGGGUAGAGCACUGUUAUGGCUAGGGGGUCAUUGCGACUUACCAAACCAUUGCAAACUCCGAAUACCGAUGAGUGCGAGCUUGGGAGACAGACGUCGGGUGCUAACGUCCGGCGUCAAGAGGGAAACAACCCAGACCGCCAGCUAAGGUCCCAAAGAUUGGCUAAGUGGAAAACGAAGUGGGAAGGCUAAAACAGUCAGGAUGUUGGCUUAGAAGCAGCCAUCAUUUAAAGAAAGCGUAAUAGCUCACUGAUCGAGUCGUCCUGCGCGGAAGAUGUAACGGGGCUAAGCCAGUCACCGAAGCUGCGGAUAUGUGCUUGCACAUAUGGUAGGAGAGCGUUCCGUAAGCCUGAGAAGGUGUCUUGUAAAGGAUGCUGGAGGUAUCGGAAGUGCGAAUGCUGACAUGAGUAGCGAUAAAGAGGGUGAAAAGCCCUCUCGCCGAAAGCCCAAGGUUUCCUGUUCAACGUUCAUCGGAGCAGGGUGAGUCGGCCCCUAAGGCGAGGCAGAGAUGCGUAGCUGAUGGGAAGCAGGUUAAUAUUCCUGCACCGUCGUAUGAUGCGAUGGGGGGACGGAUCGCGGAAGGUUGUCCARCUGUUGGAAUAGYUGGUUCUUGACUCAUAGAAGGYGCUUAGGCAAAUCCGGGCRCGUAAUUCAAGGGGUCGAGACGUGUGUCCUUGUGACACGAAGCAAUCGGAAGUGGUUCCAAGAAAAGCCUCUAAGCUUCAGUCAUACGAGACCGUACCGCAAACCGACACAGGUGGGCGAGAUGAGUAUUCUAAGGCGCUUGAGAGAACUCGGGAGAAGGAACUCGGCAAAUUGGUACCGUAACUUCGGGAUAAGGUACGCCCCRGUAGCUUGACCRSUUUACUGUGGAAGGGUGAAAGGGUUGCAAUAAACUGGUGGCUGCGACUGUUUAAUAAAAACACAGCACUCUGCAAACACGAAAGUGGACGUAUAGGGUGUGACGCCUGCCCGGUGCUGGAAGAUUAAAUGAUGGGGUGCAAGCUCUUGAUUGAAGUCCCAGUAAACGGCGGCCGUAACUAUAACGGUCCUAAGGUAGCGAAAUUCCUUGUCGGGUAAGUUCCGACCUGCACGAAUGGCGUAACGAUGGCCACACUGUCUCCUCCCGAGACUCAGCGAAGUUGAAAUGUUUGUGAUGAUGCAAUCUACCCGCGGCUAGACGGAAAGACCCCAUGAACCUUUACUGUAGCUUUGCAUUGGACUUUGAACCAAUCUGUGUAGGAUAGGUGGGAGGCUUUGAAGCGGGGACGCCAGUUCUCGUGGAGCCAACCUUGAAAUACCACCCUGGUUCGUUUGAGGUUCUAACCUUGGCCCGURAUCCGGGUCGGGGACAGUGCAUGGUAGGCAGUUUGACUGGGGCGGUCUCCUCCUAAAGUGUAACGGAGGAGUUCGAAGGUACGCUAGGUACGGUCGGACAUCGUGCUAAUAGUGCAAUGGCAUAAGCGUGCUUAACUGCGAGACCGACAAGUCGAGCAGGUACGAAAGUAGGACAUAGUGAUCCGGUGGUUCUGUAUGGAAGGGCCAUCGCUCAACGGAUAAAAGGUACUCUGGGGAUAACAGGCUGAUUCCUCCCAAGAGUUCAUAUCGACGGGGGAGUUUGGCACCUCGAUGUCGGCUCAUCACAUCCUGGGGCUGUAGCCGGUCCCAAGGGUAUGGCUGUUCGCCAUUUAAAGUGGUACGUGAGCUGGGUUUAAAACGUCGUGAGACAGUUUGGUCCCUAUCUGCCGUGGGCGUUGGAAAUUUGAAGGGGGCUGCUCCUAGUACGAGAGGACCGGAGUGGACGAACCUCUGGUGUACCGGUUGUCACGCCAGUGGCAUUGCCGGGUAGCUAAGUUCGGAAGAGAUAACCGCUGAAAGCAUCUAAGCGGGAAACUCGCCUUGAGAUGAGAUUUCCCGGAGCCUUGAGCUCCUUGAAGGGUCGUUCGAGACCAGGACGUUGAUAGGUCAGGUGUGGAAGUGCAGUAAUGCAUUAAGCUAACUGAUACUAAUUGCCCGUACGGCUUGUCCCUAUAACCUUGGCAG
rnacentral:rRNA from 1 species